GUCUCUGUAGCUCAGUUGGUAGAGCAGCUGACUCUUAAUCAGCGGGUCCACGGUUCGAGCCCGUGCGGGGACAC
rnacentral:tRNA from 1 species